rnacentral:rRNA from 1 species
AUUGAACGCUGGCGGCAGGCCUAACACAUGCAAGUCGAGCGGAUGAAGGGAGCUUGCUCCUGGAUUCAGCGGCGGACGGGUGAGUAAUGCCUAGGAAUCUGCCUUGUAGUGGGGGAUAACGUCCGGAAACGGGCGCUAAUACCGCAUACGUCCUGAGGGAGAAAGUGGGGGAUCUUCGGACCUCACGCUAUCAGAUGAGCCUAGGUCGGAUUAGCUAGUUGGUGGGGUAAAGGCCUACCAAGGCGACGAUCCGUAACUGGUCUGAGAGGAUGAUCAGUCACACUGGAACUGAGACACGGUCCAGACUCCUACGGGAGGCAGCAGUGGGGAAUAUUGGACAAUGGGCGAAAGCCUGAUCGAGCCAUGCCGCGUGUGUGAAGAAGGUCUUCGGAUUGUAAAGCACUUUAAGUUGGGAGGAAGGGCAGUAAGUUAAUACCUUGCUGUUUUGACGUUACCAACAGAAUAAGCACCGGCUAACUUCGUG